CCAGAGCAACAGCAUCAUAGUUUUGCACUCUUGCAUCAAAAGCUGAACAAACUCAACAAGCUACUUCCCCCAGGCCGACGUAGGUAUGAGAGGGAAGAGCAGAGGGGAGAUGUGCCAUGCUUUGUGCCACUGUGUGCCAGGGCUUCAGCCCAGGCAGGCACAGCUCUACUGUGCUGCUGAUCUGGACUACGGUUUUUGGCAAUGGCUUUGGGAAGAAGGAAGAUCUACAGAAGGAGAGAAGUUGCUUGGAGACUUACUCCUGACAGUAUCCUAUAAAGAGCAUCAAGUAAAGGUGAAUGACUGUAGAGCAGACUACAGAAUAAGGCAAAGUGAUUUGUUCCAAGGCUGGAGGCAAAUCCUGCUCCUAGUGAAACAAAACCCUGAGCAGCUGAUCCUGAAAGGCUGGAUGUGAUGAGAAUCUGUGAGAGGCCCAGAGCCACAUACCUGGUGAACAGUGAGGUGCUUUCCUUGACUUGAAAUAAA
rnacentral:lncRNA from 1 species